UAAUGGACAGUCCCUAUCCCUACCUCCACGCGGUACCGGCCGGAAACUAUGAGCAACCUUAGGGAAGAUCGGCUAACCAACCCCGGUGGGAACUUUGGUCGUAGGCUGACAGGGAAGG
rnacentral:ribozyme from 1 species